rnacentral:rRNA from 1 species
UGGGGAAUAUUGCACAAUGGGCGAAAGCCUGAUGCAGCAACGCCGCGUGAGUGAUGAAGGCCUUCGGGUUGUAAAGCUCUGUCUUCUGGGACGAUAAUGACGGUACCAGAGGAGGAAGCCACGGCUAACUACGUGCCAGCAGCCGCGGUAAUACGUAGGUGGCAAGCGUUGUCCGGAUUUACUGGGCGUAAAGGAUGCGUAGGCGGAUACUUAAGUCAGAUGUGAAAAUCCCGGGCUUAACUUGGGAACUGCAUUUGAAACUGGGUAUCUAGAGUGCGGGAGAGGAAAGUGGAAUUCCUAGUGUAGCGGUGAAAUGCGUAGAGAUUAGGAAGAACACCAGUGGCGAAGGCGACUUUCUGGACCGUAACUGACGCUCAGGCAUGAAAGCGUGGGGAGCAAACA